GCCGAGUGAGGGCUCGGUCACCCCUGAAUGGGACCCCAGUGCUGGGGCCUGAGCAUCUCCUGUUCGCUGCCAGCCCAGGGCAGAGACUGGACGGGCCGGACAGUCAGUGAAUGCCACCGAAAAGGGGGUAAAGCCCCAGGGACUGCCGGGCACUGCUGAGAUGGCAAAGCCAAGGCGUGGGAGGGAUGACACGUACGAGCACGUUCCUGCUGCGGGCGAAGGAGCCUGGCCUGGGCACAUCGCCUUGAGGAGAUGUCAGGGAUGAUUGUUCUGUGCUUGGAGUACAGGCCAGUGUGGUGGGAGUUCCAGAAGGGCUGGAACUGCAGAGAGCUGAGAUAAGAGCCCUACCCCUUCCUUGGUGCCGUGAGCACGAGAUGAAGGAUGAAGAGGAACUCAAGAUGCUGUCAAGAUUUCCCUUUGUACAUAUCUGAUCAGUUCAUGCCAGCUUUGGCUCCGUGCCUUUCCAGGGGAGAGCCUCCACCAGCAGGACAAGGUGGUUCAGCCCUCGGCGCAGCAAUGGAGACAGGAUUAGGAGCUGGGCUGGGGAUGGCUCCCACUCCACAAGGCAUGGGAUCUGUGAGAAAUACCUUGGGAAGACAUUGUCAGAGGUGUGCCUUUUUCUGGAGAGGAGUAAGCAGCUGCCUCUCAGCUGGACUUCUCGUCGCCAUUGCUGGGAUUACCAGGAUAGCAGCAAGACACAUGGAGGUCUCCCAGGGAGGCAGGAGACCACCUGGCUGAGGGACUUUGCUGUGCUCAGAGCCCGGGGCACCAGCACCUCCGU
rnacentral:lncRNA from 1 species